GCUUUAGUAGUUUAGUGGUUAGAAUUUUAAAUUAUAAUUCUAAAGGUUUUAGGUUCGAAUUCCAGUUAAAGUA
rnacentral:tRNA from 1 species